rnacentral:piRNA from 1 species
UAGGCCAGAAUGUAUCUGCUAGGCAC